UCCCUGGCAGUUCAGUGGUUAAGACUUUGCUUUCCAAUGCAGAGGAUGCAGGUUCGAUCCCUGUUCCGGGAG
rnacentral:tRNA from 1 species